GAUUAUGGCUCAGGAUGAACGCUAGCUACAGGCUUAACACAUGCAAGUCGAGGGGCAGCAUGUUGGUUGCUUGCAACCAAUGAUGGCGACCGGCGCACGGGUGAGUAACGCGUAUCCAACCUUCCCUAUAGUAGAGGAUAGCCCGGCGAAAGUCGGAUUAAUACUCUAUGUUUUCCGUUGCAGACAUCUAAGAUGGAACAAAGGCUUGCCGCUAUAGGAUGGGGAUGCGUCUGAUUAGGUUGUUGGCGGGGUAACGGCCCACCAAGCCUUCGAUCAGUAGGGGUUCUGAGAGGAAGGUCCCCCACAUUGGAACUGAGACACGGUCCAAACUCCUACGGGAGGCAGCAGUGAGGAAUAUUGGUCAAUGGGCGAGAGCCUGAACCAGCCAAGUAGCGUGCCAGGAUGACGGCCCUAUGGGUUGUAAACUGCUUUUAUGCGGGGAUAAAGUUCACUACGUGUAGUGUUUUGUAGGUACCGCAUGAAUAAGGACCGGCUAAUUCCGUGCCAGCAGCGGC
rnacentral:rRNA from 1 species